UACGGGGGGGGCAAGCGUUGUUCGGAAUUACUGGGCGUAAAGGGUUCGUAGGUGGCCCGCUAAGUCAGACGUGAAAUCCCUCAGCUCAACUGGGGAACUGCGUCUGAGACUGGCGGGCUUGAGUGCAGGAGAGGAACGCGGAAUUCCAGGUGUAGCGGUGAAAUGCGUAGAUAUUGGGAGGAACACCAGUGGCGAAGGCGGCUACCUGGACCGGUUCUGACGCUGAUGCGCGAAAGCGUGGGUAGCAAACAGG
rnacentral:rRNA from 1 species